UACAGAGGGUGCAAGCGUUAUCCGGAAUCAUUGGGCGUAAAGGGUUUGUAGGUGGUUUGUUAAGUUGGGUGUUAAAUUUUGCAGCUCAACUGCAAAAUUGUGCUCAAAACUAGCAGACUAGAGUAUUGCAGAGGUACGUGGAAUUCUGUGUGUAGGGGUAAAAUCCGUAGAUACACAGAGGAACACCAAAAGCGAAAGCAGCGUACUGGGCAAUUACUGACACUCAAAAACGAAAGCGUGGGGAGCAAACGGG
rnacentral:rRNA from 1 species